CUACGGGAGGCAGCAGUGGGGAAUAUUGGACAAUGGGCGAAAGCCUGAUCCAGCAAUGCCGCGUGAGUGAUGAAGGCCUUAGGGUUGUAAAGCUCUUUUACCAGGGAUGAUAAUGACAGUACCUGGAGAAUAAGCUCCGGCUAACUCCGUGCCAGCAGCCGCGGUAAUACGGAGGGAGCUAGCGUUGUUCGGAAUUACUGGGCGUAAAGAGAACGUAGGCGGCUUUUCAAGUCAGGGGUGAAAUCCCGGGGCUCAACCCCGGAACUGCCCUUGAAACUGGAUGGCUAGAAUCCUGGAGAGGUAAGUGGAAUUCCGAGUGUAGAGGUGAAAUUCGUAGAUAUUCGGAAGAACACCAGUGGCGAAGGCGACUGACUGGACAGGUAUUGACGCUGAGGUUCGAAAGCGUGGGGAGCAAACAGGAUUAGAUACCCUGGUAGUCCACGCCGUAAACGAUGAUAAGCUAGUUGUUCGGGCUCAUAGAGCUUGAGUGACGCAGCUAACGCAUAAGUAUCCGCCUGA
rnacentral:rRNA from 1 species